GAUGAACGCUGGCGGCGUGCCUAAUACAUGCAAGUCGAGCGAACAGACGAGGAGCUUGCUCCUCUGAUGUUAGCGGCGGACGGGUGAGUAACACGUGGAUAACCUACCUAUAAGACUGGGAUAACUUCGGGAAACCGGAGCUAAUACCGGAUAACAUGUUGAACCGCAUGGUUCAACAGUGAAAGACGGUCUUGCUGUCACUUAUAGAUGGAUCCGCGCCGCAUUAGCUAGUUGGUAAGGUAACGGCUUACCAAGGCAACGAUGCGUAGCCGACCUGAGAGGGGAAGCGGCCAACCUGAAACUGAGAAACGGUCCAGACCCCAACGGGAGGCAGGAGUAGGGAAUCUUCCGCAAUGGGGGAAAGCCUGACGGAGCAACGCCCCGGGAGUGAAAAAGGUUUUCGGACCGUAAAACUUUUUUAUUAGGGAAAAAAAAAUGUGUAAGUAACUAUGCCCGUUUGGACGGUACCUAAUCAGAAAGCCCCGGCUAACUACGU
rnacentral:rRNA from 1 species